AACCCGGUGUUUUUAAACACCACCAACGUUCAUUCAAUUUCGUUU
rfam:Volvox carteri f. nagariensis unplaced genomic scaffold VOLCAscaffold_1, whole genome shotgun sequence.